rnacentral:rRNA from 1 species
CAUAGCGACUAUCGUGGCAUAUCAAUAAGCGGAGGAAAAGAAACUAACUAGGAUUCCCUCAGUAACGGCGAGUGAAGCGGGAAGAGCUCAAAUUUGAAAUCUUCAAGGUUCUACCUUGACGAAUUGUAGUUUAAAGAAGUGUUUUCUGUUGGAGUUUUGGUAAAAGUUCUUUGGAAUAGGACAUCAUAGAGGGUGAGAAUCCCGUAUUUGACCAUUAUUUCCAACUUUGUGAUACACUUUCAAAGAGUCGGAUUGUUUGGGAAUGCAGUCCAAAAUGGGUGGUAAAUUUCAUCUAAAGCUAAAUAUUGGCGAGAGACCGAUAGCGAACAAGUACCGUGAGGGAAAGAUGAAAAGAACUUUGAAAAGAGAGUUAAACAGUACGUGAAAUUGUCAGAAGGGAAGCGUUUGACACCAGUGUUGUUUUUCUCGAAAAUCAAUUAAAAAUUGAUUCAUGCUAGGUUGUAUUGACCUCAUCAGCUUGCAAUUUAGUUUUGGGUCUCUCUUUGAUGCACUUUUCGGUUAACAAGUCAACAUCAAUUUCCUUUGCUGUAAAAAGGUAAGAGGAAGGUGGCUUCAAUUUCGGUUGAAGUGUUUACAGCCUUUUAUCUCUGCAGUCGGGGAGAUUGAGGUCUGCAGCGUAGAUCCUUCGGGGCUAGAUACAUUUAUGCUAAGUUAUAGCUUUUCAUAGACAACUUGUUGACUAUGUUUAGUCAUGUAGCUUACUCGUAAGUGCUAUUUUACCUACGCUUAGGAUGUUGAUAGUCACAGCGUGUAC